rnacentral:rRNA from 1 species
AUUGAACGCUGGCGGAAUGCUUUACACAUGCAAGUCGAACGGCAGCACGGGGGCAACCCUGGUGGCGAGUGGCGAACGGGUGAGUAAUACAUCGGAACGUGCCCAGUCGUGGGGGAUAACUACGCGAAAGCGUAGCUAAUACCGCAUACGAUCUAUGGAUGAAAGCGGGGGAUCGCAAGACCUCGCGCGAUUGGAGCGGCCGAUGGCAGAUUAGGUAGUUGGUGGGGUAAAGGCCUACCAAGCCGACGAUCUGUAGCUGGUCUGAGAGGACGACCAGCCACACUGGGACUGAGACACGGCCCAGACUCCUACGGGAGGCAGCAGUGGGGAAUUUUGGACAAUGGGCGCAAGCCUGAUCCAGCCAUUCCGCGUGCAGGAUGAAGGCCCUCGGGUUGUAAACUGCUUUUGUACGGAACGAAACGGCCUGGGUUAAUACCCUGGGUUAAUGACGGUACCGUAAGAAUAAGCACCGGCUAACUACGUGCCAGCCGCCGCAGUAAAAC